rnacentral:tRNA from 1 species
GGUCUCGGAAAUCCGUAAAACUACGUUGACAUCGUAGGGGUCACAGGUUCGAUCCCUGUCGCGCCCACCA